GAUGAAGAACGUAGCGAAAUGCGAUAAGUAAUGUGAAUUGCAGAAUUCAGUGAAUCAUCGAAUCUUUGAACGCACAUUGCGCCCCCUGGUAUUCCGGGGGGCAUGCCUGUCCGAGCGUCAUUACAACCCUCAAGCUCAGCUUGGUGUUGGGCCCCGCCGCCCCGGCGGGCCCUAAAGUCAGUGGCGGUGCCGUCCGGCUCCGAGCGUAGUAAUUCUUCUCGCUCUGGAGGUCCUGUCGUGUGCUCGCCAGCAACCCCCAAUUUUUUUCAGGUUGACCUCGGAUCAGGUAGGGAUACCCGCUGAACUUAAGCAUAUCAAUAAGCGGAGGA
rnacentral:misc_RNA from 1 species